rnacentral:rRNA from 1 species
GUGGGGAAUUUUGGACAAUGGGCGCAAGCCUGAUCCAGCCAUGCCGCGUGCAGGAUGAAGGCCUUCGGGUUGUAAACUGCUUUUGUACGGAACGAAAAGACUCUGGUUAAUACCUGGGGUUCAUGACGGUACCGUAAGAAUAAGCACCGGCUAACUACGUGCCAGCAGCCGCGGUAAUACGUAGGGUGCGAGCGUUAAUCGGAAUUACUGGGCGUAAAGCGUGCGCAGGCGGUUAUAUAAGACAGAUGUGAAAUCCCCGGGCUCAACCUGGGAACUGCAUUUGUGACUGUAUGGCUAGAGUACGGCAGAGGGGGAUGGAAUUCCGCGUGUAGCAGUGAAAUGCGUAGAUAUGCGGAGGAACACCGAUGGCGAAGGCAAUCCCCUGGGCCUGUACUGACGCUCAUGCACGAAAGCGUGGGGAGCAAACAGGAUUAGAAACCCUGGUAGUCC